AUAGGAACCCUGACUACCCAGAAACUGCUGUGCUGGAGAGGCUGCAUGUAGGAGGCACUCUGGCUUACAGCCUCAGCUGAAUCUAGGCUAACAGUCAUAACCAACUGCAAGCCAGGGAGAUGAUCCAGCUGAUGACAAUCUGGCAGAUUUAUUUCCAGGGAGAAUUAGUCCCACCCUGUGUGGGUGUCAGCUUGAAUGGCUCUAGUCCCCAUGGGGCAAAGAGGUCCUGUCACCUCAGCAAGCAAGGAGGGCAAGUUGGAGCCAGCUAACAUCCGUCAGGAACUCCAAGGCCAAAGGCAUGAUCUGGAGGGAAGAAGUGAGUUCACCGUCAACUAGACUAAACUGAAAGGGAAAAAGAAUCAUCUCAGCUUUUGCUACCUCAAUGUGAUACAGAAGCGGGGAAGUCCUUUAAGUACUCACUGGGAGAGUUGGCAACGCUCAUGGCAGAAUCACAGUACAAGAGGAGACAACAUUACCAAACGAGUCUGGAAACCUCCAGAGUCACUAACGGUUGUCUACAGGGAGUCUCUGUCUAGGUGUGGCUCAUCCAUUGGUAGCCUCCUCCUUCAAUAAUUUUUCCAAAGAUUCAUUUUCCGUGUCAGAAUUCUCACCUGGCUUCUGACUACAAUAAAUA